ACCUCAUAUUAUCCCAAAUUGAUCUUUCAUCGCUCCAAAUUGAUCUCCGAUCCACAAAAGGUGCUCUUCGCUUCGAGGUAGGCCAAGAAUGACUGUUGUCUACCUUUCCCUCGCCGACGUGGUUGGACGGUCGUCAUUCUUCGAGUGAUUGGUGGUGUAAAUCUUCCAAGCCGCGACCCUGUGCUCAAAAGAUCGACAAGAGAUAAAAACCUAGGAUGACCAGUGCCAUGGCGGUAGAGUAAAUCAAGGGAUCAAGGUUUCUUUGCGUUUGGGAGGAUGACCAGUGCCAUGGUGGUAGAGUAAAUCAAGGGAUCAAGGUUUCUUUGCGUUUGGGAGGAUGACCAGUGCCAUGGUGAUAGAGUAAAUCAAGGGAUCAAGGGAUUGCUAUGCUGUGCUAUUUUUGUGACAUAAUCUUGUUGUUUUGAUGAGCUAUGCUUGCUGAUUUCCUUAUGUGUUUUGUCAAUUGAGGUUGUGAGAGGGAUGAAGAAGAUGGAGACAAUGAUAGCACUCCUUAUUUUGAAAGAGAUACGUGAGGGCAUUUUCCGAAACUAUAUCUUAGAGGAAGUUGUUCUUGUACCUGAGAAGAUAUCAAACACUGUAUAAUGAAUUCAACAAACUCGUUUGUGACUCCUUUCCGAGCCUUGGCAAAGUCGAUGUUGAAGAACGACAGCCCUUCCCAAACCUAAUCGGGGUUGUUCGAGGACGAACAAUAAUGCAAUUGUGAGGAGGGAAGUUUAAUUGUCACCACAAAAACUUUUGUAAAUUUGGGUGCAACAAGAUAAAUCAGGGGAGUUUUUGCUUGUUUUCCCUUGCUGUUACAAUCCUGGAGACCGCUUAUUUUUCCAACUAAGGUGGGUGUGAAGAUCCUCAGUGAGUUGGUUUGCCGCCCCUGAUUGCUUCAUCAGUGAUUCUGCACUCGACGAGUUUGGUAGUUCGUAGUUGUCUUUAUUCACACGCCUUAAGAUUGUAUUGCAGUUUGAUACCGAAGUUAUCUAUAAGCUAUUACUUAAUGGAUGUGGGGAUCGUAUGUUAUAAGAUUGUUAGUUGGUUGUUAUGUUGUACGACAUGGUGGUUUUUUGGGAUGCUUUAAAGCAUUGUUGAUGCCUAAUAUUCUAUUUUGAGCAUGACUAUGAAUGUCGUCGGAUUGAUGUCGUUUUGUAGGUAUGGACAAGGA